rnacentral:lncRNA from 1 species
GAUAGCCUUUUCUGUUUCCUUAUGUUAUUUAUCCUGCUACUCCAACAACUCGACCGAUUCCUACGCCACGCCCGUCCUCGACGCGCCAUCCCACGUCGAGCGGAUCACGGGCACGAUCAAGCUGUUGGUGGCCCGUCGUGAACGCAGCAAGACUCGGCCCUACAUUAUGGAAAGGAAAAACUUACAGACUCUGAACAUAA